rnacentral:rRNA from 1 species
AUUGAACGCUGGUGGCAUGCCUUACACAUGCAAGUCGAACGGCAGCACGGGAGCAAUCCUGGUGGCGAGUGGCGAACGGGUGAGUAAAGUAUCGGAACGUGCCCAGUCGUGGGGGAUAACGUAGCGAAAGUUACGCUAAUACUGCAUACGAUCUAUGGAUGAAAGCGGGGGAUCGCAAGACCUCGCGCGAUUGGAGCGGCCGAGAUCAGAUUAGGUAGUUGGUGGGGUAAAGGCUCACCAAGCCGACGAUCUGUAGCUGGUCUGAGAGGACGACCGGCCAGACGGGGACUGAGACACGGACCAGACUCCUACGGGAGGCAGCAGUGGUGAAUUGUGGACACGGGGCGAAAGCCUGGUCCAGCCAUGCCGCGUGCAGGAUGAAUGCCUUCGGGUUGUAAGCUGCUUUUGUACGGGACGAAAAGGUUUCGCCUAAUAAGCUGAACUCAUGACGGUACCGUAAGAAUAAGCACCGGCUAACUACGUGCCAGCAGCCGCCGUAA